CACCAGCGCCACGAGUGGCGUUCACGAUUAUUGGGCCUAAAGCGUCCGUAGUCUGUUAAGUGCAUCCUCUGUGAAAUCGCUGCGCUCAACGUAGCGGCAUGCGGGGGACACGGCUUAGCUUGAGACCGGGAGGCGUCGAGGGUAUUCCGGGGGGACCGGUAAAAUGGUAUAAUCCCCGGAGGACCACCUGUGGCGAAGGCGCUCGACGAGAACGGAUCUGACGAUGAGGGACGAAAGCCAGGGGAGCAAACCGG
rnacentral:rRNA from 1 species